CUUUGGGUAGUUUAAUUAGAAUGUCAGCUUUGGGUGUUGACGGUAGGGCUAGGUGCCCUUCCCCUGA
rnacentral:tRNA from 1 species